CAUUCAACUACACUCAACUGGGUGGGCUGGUCUCGUACUCGUGUAUGAUUUGUUCUACUGAUUUUUUGUAUUUGCCUACCAGCUCGGGUAGGUCGUAGGCGAUAGCUACGUCUAGUCUAUUGAUUGGGCAACCACGGAAGUAGGUGCACGUGGAGCUCAACAGGGGGAAAUCGUAUAGAGGAUUCAACCGGAAGAAGUCUCGGUAAACAUCUGGAUCUGGCAAGUCAUAGCGUGAGAUGUUCUUCAGAGUACUGAGCCCUUCGUAGAUAUGAUAAUCCUGGGGAUUCUCAACGAUUUUGUCGCUGAUCUCCUUCUUGUUUCCAAAGAAUGUCUUGUGGUUGUAAUAGGUGGUUAGAUAGCAGUCUACCAUUUUAGCAUGAUUACGCACUCGCACCUGUAACAUAUUUAAUAUAGUUUCAGAACUUACGGGGCUAGCAGAUGUGUUUCUAAUCGAUGACAAGUGUAAAGAAUUUGUCCAUUAUAUAUUUGUCCCUUAGGAGUGACUUACAGCGAAUCUUCUGGCGCUUGCAAUUUUGUGUUCGACUUGUUUGUCAAUGGCAGUACGCAGAUCACGUAGGAAUGCUCGCUCCUGAGCGUAUAGCAAUCUAGUCGGUGCUCCAGCUUCGUAUGGUAUCGACCAUAGCGAUGUGGAGUACAUGAUCGGCGGCUCGGCGCUGGACAUCAGCGGCGAUAUGUUCCAGAUCAGAGCUCCUUGCACUCUCAUGAGUUCCUCUGGUUUCACUUGAUCAGCUUUGUUCAGAAUGAUGCGCGUCUGUUUCAGGAAGUUGGUGUUACACAUUAACUGGCACGACCUCGGAUCAGUUAUAUGCUCUUACCUGGUACUCCCUCCCCUUCAGCUGGUCGAGGAUCGCUUCCGUUUCCGGUCCGACGUCCAACUUAGAUGGGUCGUAGACUAAGAAUAUUAUGUCCGCUCGGUCGAUGAACCACUGACACGCGUCGUUGAAUGGGAACAGACGUUGUACCUGCUUUCGAAUUUCUAAGAUCCCCGGUAUCUCGACAAUAUUAACCUGGUAUCAUUCAAGGAUUGCAUAAGUAGCAGAAGGUUCCGGAUCUGCGUCCGCAAGGUGACGACUUAGACAAGCGCUUCUUCAGCCAAAUCAAACUCAAAAUGAUCUAUAAGCUUUGUCUCCUUGAUUGCGAUACAUGCUCCUCGUUUUUUAGGUCAGGUUCAAGGUCAUUAUAUAGAUCAUUACGCUGGAUUGACGAAUAAAUCAUUGUAUAAGAGGUUACCGUCUUAGUAACAAUUGUAGGGAUUGUUAAUCUCGAUUAAUUCGGUCUAGAAAGUAGUUGUCCAGGUCGACAUCCUUUUUCUUGAACGUCUGUUCACUUACUUUUUCUAGCAGCUUGCUGUCAAGUCGUAAACCUUUGAGGCGGUCGAGCAAUCCUUGUCCAAACUUCUGCAACCCGGAGAAGGUCCAGUCGGCGGCCAGUUGGGUGCCAUCGAGGAUCUCCUCUUCCUCGCCGUGCAUGAGAAUGUUGAAGUAAGCUGGGGACGGCUCGGCUCCUGUGUCAUUUCCAUUUCCCGUUUUGCAUUGCUCCUCUAAGCACUCUAUCAAAUCACCUAAACACUAUCUAUACAAUCAUGCUCCUCUAGCAUGCUUAGUCUACCGCUAAGAAACCUAAUCGAAUUCCGACCGGGUCGGGUCAGGCAUCAAACGAAUUCAAACAAGAAACGUUGUUGUGAAACAAUGCCGCGUUCCCAUGGCUACUUACGCACCUGUCCGUAGCGAUGUCUGUUCGUACUCGAUGUCGAGCAAAUAGUUUAUGAUUGAGGACUUCCCCCCGCUCCAUGGACCCAUGAAGAGAACCAAUGGCUUGGAGAAGAUCUCUGGAUCUACAAACGCAACGAACAGUAUAUUAAAAUACGAUAAGAAGUGGCAACGUCUACGAGAUACUAACCACCAAAGUGCCUAUUACUUAGGUCCCUGUAUUUGUACAGUGACUCCAAGGGUUGUAUAGCAUUGUCGUAAACUCUCUUCAGUUCCUUCAAUACAUCGUAACCGAUCUUCGAAAUGGCACGUUCCUUCGCCUCGUUCUCUUCGUCAAGCUUCAGCAAUUGAUUGAUGUGAUCUCGUGGUCGUAGGUUCUCUGGUACCACGAUUUCCCGAAUCAGGUCUUCCUCGGGAGUAGGCUCCUCCUCGCUCUGUUCCGCGUCUUCGGAGGCCUCGGCUGACUCUUCACCCGCGUCCUCAGCCGCGCCUUCUUCACCAACCUCUCGUCUAGCUCGAGAUUUCGUUUUUUCAGCUCCUUCUUCCGCACCUUCUUCUUCCGACUUGGUUUCCUCUACAGAUUCUUUUCCCUCCCCAUCAUCAGCGGACUUGUCCUCUUCGGCAGACUUAGCUUCUUUCUCCUCCUCAGAUUUAGUUUCCUCCGUAUCCCCUUCCUCCGCCGAUUUCGCUUCAUCUUCUGCAGAUUUUCCUUCCUCCUCCUUACCUUCCCCACUUUUCUCCUCCUGCGCUUCGUCUACUUGAUCCUCAGAGCUCUCACCUUCACCUUCACCUUCUUCACUUUCACCUUUACCUUCACCUUCACUCUCACCGCCACCUUCACCCUCACCUUCCUGGCUCUCUUCCUUUCCUUCCUCUCCACUCACUUGCUGUUCCUCCGAUUGGGUCUCGUCUUCUGCUUUGCUAUCGUCCUUCGCUUCUUCUGUAUCUUCUUUAGAACCCUCUCCAGCUUCACCUUCUUCCGCGGAAGCAUCCUCCUCCGCCUUCGAAUCCUCUUCUUCAGUUUGGCCCUCCUUCUCCUCUUCGGACUUCACCUCUUCGGUUUGCGCUUCGUCGGAUUUCUCCUCGUCGAGUUUCGCUUCUUCGGCUGAUUCGCCCGCGGCUUCAACUUCUUCGUCGGAUUUUCCAUCGUCGGCUUUAGAUUCCUCGUCGGAUUUUCCUUCGUCGGCUUGAGCUUCUUCGUCGGACUUGCCCUCGUCGGCUUGUGCUGCUUCUUCAGAUUUCUCUUCGUCCGUCUGCGCCUCCUCCUCGCCAGAUUUUUCCUCGCCUACCUGCGUCUCUUCAGACUUCUGGUCAUCAGUUUCUUCGUCCGUUCCUUCACCGGACUUCUGCUGAUCCUCUUCUUCGGUCUGAUCCUGGCCGGAGUCCGCGGCCUCCUCUACCUUCUCGGAAGACUGUUCUUUAUCCUCCUCUGUUCCCGCGUCUUCUUCGCCAGAUUUCUCGGCAUCUUCAGUUUCACCUAAACGCACCAUCGCUACAGUGAUGAUUUUGAUACUUCAAAGCUCAAAGAUCGCCUAGUCUCUACUCUACCUUCUUCGGCUUCGGCGCUCUGUUCUCCCGUAUCUUCAGCGCUUUUCUCAGCCUCCGCGGACUUGUCAGCUCCCUCUUCAGUUUGUUCAGCGCUUGCUGCAGUUUCAGCAUCUUCUACCGACUCUUGCUUGUCCUCCUCGGUUGCCAAAUCUUCUCCCGAAAGAUCGGCUGUUGGUUCGCCUUCCUAGAAACAACACCGGUAGUUUAACAGCGAUCGAUCCAGAGAAUGAUCAGUGUUGGACGCUGGAUCUUUUUAUAGAACUAGGAAAAAUUUACCUCUUGACUCGUAGGUGUCCCAUCGUCUUCCUGACUUUCUUUACCGACGUCUGCCUCAGCCUCGGCACUGGUCUGCUCCAAAGACCCUUCAAACGAAACGUUCUAGAAAUUGCUGUGCUCCAGUCGCGCGCUCCUCAGCAUCUUAACAUUACCUGUACCGAGGUCCUUUAAUGCUUUCUCAAUGUAUGGUCGACACAGAUCCUCUGGUGGCACCUCUAGCUCCUCUUCGCUUUGCACUCCUGUAACGAAAUUGCUUACAAUUGGAUCUUGGAUCAACUAGAUCAAGAGAUUGUUUUCUUUCUACACGAUUGGAACAUUUAAAGGCUAAUCUCAGAAAUAAAAUUUGCGAUUCUAAAUCAUUUUGGAGUUCAAAUCCUACUUUUAGCAAGUAGUUUAAUCGGUGAUUUGGGGAUCAGAGGACAGCUUACCGUGGGAAAAUAGAAAAAUCAUAUGUAAUUGCUAGGAUAGCCUAAGUUAAACCUGACCAGUAACGCUUUGGGUAUCUUUAAUCGAGUUAUGAGAUUUGCAGAGUGCGAGUGUUUUCAGAUUACAAUGAACUGUAAUAAGCGAGCUAGUAGCAAGAAAAUUGAUCUGUAUACCUAAAACAAUGCUUUAGGGAAUUCUCGAAGAACGUUUACAGGGACAUCGUCGGAGCAUUUCGUAGUUUUGCAAACGCCGAACGGAACUCGACACCAGUCUGGUCUAGAGAGUCGGUGUCCGGUGUCCUGUGACAGUUCCGCGACCACGGCAGACCUCCAACAUUGAUUUCAUUAGGGACCUAAGGACGCGCUAAUAAUACCAGCGGGUCCCGAUCGGGAGGAACGGCUCUAAACAAACAGAGGGAGGCGCGACGACGCGCUGGUUGACGUAGAAAUAUGCAAAACACACGAUCGCGUCGGACAUUAAUAAAAGAUAUUUGCGUUGCGCGGGAGUUCGCGCGGCCGAUCCCCAACGGCUGGCUCGAUUCUAUGCCGAUUCCUCGGCUGCCAGGAAUGUUCAUCAGGAGUUUUCACUGUGCGGCGGACCCCCGGUGCCAAAAGAAGGCGCGGGGUAUUAGAUAACUCGAGCCGCGCAGCCGAGGGUUUAACGCCACGCGACCACCGAAAAUAUCUGACCCAAGUGACGCAAGAAUCUUGUCAAAGUCGUUACACGACCCGUUCGGAUGAGCGCGUGCUCGGACAAUGACAGGUGUUCGGGGAACAACACUGCUGGUCGCAUUGUCACGACCGGUUGAUAAAGGACCGCGCUGACGUUCUUGGAAACGCGGGACCUGGCAGGGAUCGAAAAUAACGAGUCAUGCAGAUGUUCUCACAAUUAACAUUUUGAUAAGGUGGCUGCGAACUCUCGCUGAUAUUUCGUGUACCGCUGACUUCCUGUCCAACCACGCGGUCCAUAGAUCGUCUAUAGAUCUAAUAGAUCGUUUCAUAGAUCUAAUCUCCGUGAACGAUUGUCCCCUAGAUCCGUACGCGCGAAAUUAGCGCCCGUUCAUGCGAGCGAGAUAGUAAGAUUCAUCGCGGUUCUCAUUUCUUGUCAUUUUCAUCGAUCUCGUGAGCUCUAUCCAAGAUAUUGUUGUACGCAAUGUAUACCGUGAUGAUAAAUUAGGAACUCGGCGCCAAAAUUUGCGACACCCGAAAUGUUAAAAAUGUCGAUUAUCGGAGACUGAUCGAUGGUUGACGCCGAGCGUUCAUCGAGUGGCUGGCUGUCGGACUUCGUGUUUCGACCGUUUCGUCCAGUCGAAUUCGAACAUAAUUUCGACAAUUAUAGAAUGAGAAAUCUGAAACCAUUCGAGCAGUAGUAUCAGCGUUGAAUUAGAAUGUCGGAAGCGAAACUGUGGUGGGCCGAUGUUUAGGUGAACGGGCCAGAUUAGACGUCGUGGUUGUUACUUUAAAGCAACAUUGUUCCUUCGGGACUCCGUCCGAAGGACGACGUGUUCCAAAAUCUGUGCCCUGGUGUCACAAUACGCGGCGCGGAACGUAAAAUCUCGGUCGAUGAAAAUGUCGAUAUCAUCUUUCUAGGCAGUACCUGGGACCAGGCCGGUUUCUAAGUUUAGCGGCGAGUAGGCGGCUUUGAGCCGAGCAACACUUGAAAAUAUUUAUAUAUUCGAUGAGCGAAACGUAUUUUUAUCGGUUAUUCGCCGCGGAAAAGUGCGAACGACGAUACAGAUCAUUCGCGGUUGCGACAAAGUAAUUUGGGCCGUACGGGCACAGAGUCCCCUUCGGGUAGAUGUCCUUCUACGCUGAUCGAUCAUUUUAUUUUGCUAUUAUUAUCAAAUCCUUAAUCGAUCCUCAUUUUUUCAGCUUAAUGUUAUUCUCUCAAAUUGAUUAGACGAUCAAGAACCAAUAUAGCGGACAGCUAAGCAGUUAGAUCUGUAAUUUGCAUUAUCGAAGACGAAAGGUUAUGUUGUGGGACUAAUGUACGCGAAAUUCUUGAGUUUAUGCCAAUAUAUCAACUGUGACAAUAUAGAUUUAUUAACAGGAAAAUUCUGAUUGGAAAUGAAAAGAUACACAAAGAUAGAGAUACACAAACAUAAAAUAUUAAUCGAAACCCAUUUUUAACCCCUGGCGAAGGGGUUGAAAGCGAAAUUAUUGAGAAAAAGAUCAAAUCGAGAAUCUAACUGAAGAAAAGAAGGUCGAAUUAAGAGUUUAGAUAAAGUGCCUACAAAAGUAUCUUCCAGAAAAUUGGCAAACAAUUAUUAUAAAGGUGAAAGUGCCAUUUUACUGGAAUGGUGUUUGAAAAUAAUUCCUGGGUAGCCUUAAUGCUUAACAUAUGUGCGUAAAAAGCAUGAUAGCGGGUGAAUAUCCUCUGUCAACAGUCAAAGCCAACGCUGACGUACCAAACAUUUUUCUCGUGGCUGUAUUAACAGUAAACCGUUGACGGUCUCCUUGAAACAAAGCUGACGAGGCAUUUGAACAAAUUCUGCGCGCAAGACUGCGGCAAUUUUCAAAGUGAAAUUUAAUUGGUCGCCACGCGAGACCAACAAAUGAGAAAAUACUACGCGGCUUACGUUUGCGCCCAGCCCGUAAAUUUUCAACAUUACAUCACACGCGCUGCUACUUUUGGCACGGCAGCUCGGGUUUUAUCAUUUUAUGUGCUUCGGCCUUUUGUUGUCCAAGCGACGAACGCCAAGCGGCAUUGCAGGAAAUGGGACUGGCGAGUCGAUGGGGUCAGUUAUAGAACUCCUAGAUCCGUGGCUCUCCUUCAACUGAUCAUUUAAACCUGCUUCUCAAUUUGCACAAAUUUAUACUUCACCGUUGCUCGUUUUGCGAGCGAUUAUGCGUUCACUGCGGAUGUUUCUGCGAUUGCUCGUUCACGAAGACUAUUUUGCGAUUUAUCGGAGCUAUCAAAUUGUUUAUUCGGCCCGAUUCGAAAUAGAAAGGUCACUGUUGAAGCUCCAAUUUUUCGCUCAUCGUUGGUUUCGCUGGAUUCUUUAAUCCUUUCUAGAAGUUUCCUAGAUGGCAAAUCGAAUUUGACCCUGAUUUUCGUUUCUUUAAGGCUAUAUAUGAAAAGUAGGAUUUUUGUAAAGAUUCUCAUCACGAUCAUAAGUCGGCUACAACCUUGACGAAUGUUUAGUCGAUCCUCGUUGAUUUUCCGAAGGUUUCCGUGUAAACGAUACCCGAUCGCGACGAAUGUAUUAAUUUUGGUCUCGAAUGAUCUGUAAGACAACAUGUUGAAAUUGUGCGGUCGGAAAAUAAUCCGCGAAAAUGUCAAGAUACAGGUAAUGGAAGCAGAGGUAAGCAGCUGUCGUUUGGCAAGCAUAGUGAGGAUAAAGAUAGAAUCCGAAGUCUUGCCGCGGUACGCGGCUCGCAUAGUCUUUAAUCCCUUCGUAGAAAAAUCGAAUCUGAUAAAAAAUAUCGAUAUUCGUUUGACCGACUAAAUUUUUCUAAACCUCGGAAAUUCCAGAAGCAGUAACAAACGUGAACUCACAAUUUCAAUAAUGUCUUCCCUAUCGAAAAUAACCGCAAAAUCACCUGCUAACACUUUUUAAAACGAAAAUUCUAUUAUUUACAAGAUUAAAUACUGAAAGCAGAGGAAUACAUUUAAAGAUAAAAAAGAAAACGCUUUCGAAUACAAUAGACGAGGCUCGCAUUUGAAUCAGUUGAAUUUAACAGAGCGAAAUUUAUUUUUAACUAGUAAAAUAUACGGGAAGAUCGAUCGAAUAGGAAACCAACAAGAUAUUUCAAAGCAUUGUUGGCAUACGCAUAGUGUUCUGUAAGAUAUUAGCUUUCUAUUUUUGUUGCAAAAUUCUGUCGGAAGCAUCAUUAAACUAAUGCAAUACACUCGGCGCGGUGUGCAUUUGAAAAUAGCUGGAUGUUAAUUUAAAUAUAAUUUGGUACGAUUUAUUAUAGAUUUGAAAAAGCGGCCGUUUUCGGGUAUUGCUCGUUUGUGGUAGCCGGUCGAAAAAUGUCGACAGAUUCGCGAACACCGACCGCGAAUUACGGACAGGCACCUUUAAACGGAAUACACGGCUAGAUUCGCGAAAUUUAGAGCGAAUCUGGCACGGAUUUACGCCCGUCCUUAUGUAAUUAUUUGCGAGUUGUUGACAGUCGGUUUCCAUCGAUUCCCAAAAUAACGGAUCCUUGAAUCCACAAUCGGACACUUUUUCCUCGAUCGCCGACCCGAUUAAACCAUCCUCAAUUAUACGCAUACUACGUCACGAGCAGUGUUGCAUGUCCAAGACUCUCUAUGUCUCUUACUGUAAAAACGCGACAAUUCAAACACAACCAUACGAAGCCAACGAAAUGAAAAUAAUAAGGUAAAAGCAGACUGAACAACGUUUUCUCAUCGAUUGAGAGAAGAGAUUAGAAAUGGAUUCGUUUCUGAUCGAAGGUGCUCGGAAAAAUCCGAUCGAGUGGGUGGAGAAUUGUUGCGUCAAGACAACGGAAUCGUUCAACAAGUGUCACGUGCGACGAACAGACGAGAUGCGGUACCGUUUAAUGAUGUAUCGUCGCGAUAAUGACGCAACAGAUCGCAGGUUCAUCGGUUCGAUGUCGAACAGGCCGAACGAGCCAGGAACCGGUGACGCAGACUGGCGAUUUUACGUAACAUUGACCUUCGUCAGUCGUCACCGGUUCGUCAGCACGUCGACCACAUCAUCGACCACUAAAGCUUCGAAAAAGCUGCGCUGUCCAAAUACACAAGGAACCAUCCAAAACUUACAAUCUUGCUUUCCGAGACGGCGAAGACUUCCGAAAUACCCGGGGGAGAUUAUUGGCAACUUCCACGGCUAAAAUGAUCCACCGAUGCUCCCAAAUGAUAACCACAAGCUCAAUUUUGUUCGAGUACGCUGCCUCGAUGAGAGGUUGAAGUUUCGAAGAGAUCGUUGAUGCGCAGCUUUCAACCCUUUGCCGUGCUAAGAGCUAUCCAUAUCGCUCACGUAGCCUAAUUAGGCUGAUAAGUUUAUAUAAUAAUUGCGAAUUAAUUAUUUACGGUGCACAAAAUUAAUAAGAGGAAAAAUUCCGAAAAACCGAUCAAUGGGAAGACCGACGAAUUCUCAGUUUAUCGGAGCUUUCGACGAUGAUUCAUCGAUCGAAGCUGGGACCUGCAUCGAUCGCGUAUUGAUGGUAGCAGUUUCCAAGGGAAUCCUAAGCUUCGCUAUUAUAUUUAGCAACGCUGAGUUCGUAACUUAUCGAAUUUGUUUGCAGAGACGAGAAUGGCGGAGAGGAAAUUCGGAGCCCGCGACAGCUUUAAUCAUCGGCACUCGUCACGAGCCGCGGCGCGUUGAUCUUUAUUUAUACCAUAAUUAACGCAAAUAAACGACGCGAAGUCGGGGACCAGGUGCAUCUUAAAAAGAAUCUGUCGCGUGACAGCCCGGUAAAAAUAACGCGAUAACAGGUCACAGUAUUAUUGUUGUUUGAAUUCGUUGCGAACCCUUCGAACGAAACAAUUAAAAACUGAAAAUUAAACUUACGAUAGCAAAAUUUGUUCCCCGUAAAUUGGCUAAUUUCUUUCGACUGGCACGUAAUCUUAACACGUUGAUUUUAGAAGGUACUGAAAAGGGCGCAAAUUCAAGAGACCAGGGUAUGCGACCAAGGAUCCAGAUUUCCGGACUACCGGCAACUCCAAUUAACCUACAUUGUAAUUAUUAAAUCGCUACGAAGUAAAAGAAACUGGUGCCGAGUCUAAUCAAGCUGACUACCAGUGCAGGGUCAAAAGUUAUGUCUAUUGAUUCUCGAAGCUCGCAGGAAUGGAGGAUCCAGACCAUUGUUGGAGCCCAGCCAUGCCUAUCCAAACUAGAGGUUGGAGUGCAAGGGAACUAACCAGUUAAUUUCAUUUCCACUUACUUUCAAACACUAUUUAAUCUUUAAAAAUCACAGAAAGAAAGAGUCCAGGUUAUCAACAUCGUUGCCGGAAUUGUAUCUAUCUACUAGGUAGCUAUGGAAGCAAGAUCAUUGAAGGCUAAAGGGGCUGACUAAUUCAAAAUGGAAUACAGGAACUAAGAUAUUAUAAAAUGGUAUUUUCACUAA